UCUUGACCUCGUGAUCCACCCGCCUCAGCCUCCCAAUAAAUUAGAUUUUAAGUGAAAAAUUGUUAGAAGAGAGCAAGAAGAACAUUAUAUGUUGCCAAAAGUGUUAUUUCACCAAGAAGACAUAACAGUUAUAUGUGCACCAAACAUCAGUGCUGCUAAUUAUAUGAAGCAAAUACAGACUUGAAAAGAGAAGUAGCAACCCAGUAAUACAGUGGACUCUGAGCCACAUGGAUUUGAACUGCAUAGGUGCACUUAUGUGUCAAUUUUUUUCAACCAAUCUCAGAUCGAAAAUAACAAUAUUCAUGGGAUGUGAAACCCACAUAUAUGGAGGGCCAAGUUUUCAUAUACGUUGGUUCUACCAGGCUGAGUGCAAGACUUGAGUUUGUAUGCAUUUGAUAUACCAGGGUUCUUGGAACCAAUCCCCCAUAUAUAUUGAGGGACAACUGUACUAGGACACUUCAAACCUCCCUUUCAAAUAGCCAGACAAAAGAUAAG